ensembl:snRNA U6 U6 spliceosomal RNA
GUGCUGCUUGCUUUGGCAGCACAUAUACUAAAAUUGGAAUGAUACAGAGAAGAUUAGCAUGGCCCCUGAGCAAGGAUUUCACACAAAUGUAGAAAGAUCAUGAGUAAAAUU